rnacentral:rRNA from 1 species
CAAUAAGCACUCCGCCUGGGGAGUACGGCCGCAAGGUUAAAACUCAAAGGAAUUGACGGGGGCCUGCACAAGUGGUGGAGCAUGUUUUCUACUUCGACGCAACGCGAAGAACCUUACCAGGUUUUGACAUCUUCGGACAGCCCAAGAGAUUGGGUCUUCCCUUCGGGGACAGAAUGACAGGUGGUGCAUGGUUGUCGUCAGCUCGUGUCGUGAGAUGUUGGGUUAAGUCCCGUAACGAGCGCAACCCCUGAUCUUAGUUGCCAGCAUUGAGUUGGGCACUCUAGGAUGACUGCCGGUGACAAACCGGAGGAAGGCGGGGAUGACGUCAAAUCAUCAUGCCCCUUAUGACCUGGGCUACACACGUGCUACAAUGGAUGGUACAAAGGGAAGCCAAACCGCGAGGUCGAGCUAAUCCCAUAAAGCCAUUCUCAGUUCGGAUUGUAGGCUGCAACUCGCCUGCAUGAAGCCGGAAUCGCUAGUAAUCGCGGAUCAGAAUGCCGCGGUGAAUACGUUCCCAGGCCUUGUACACACCGCCCGUCACACCACGAGAGUUGGCAACACCCGAAGUCGGUGGGGUAACCUUCACGGAGCCAGCCGC